CUAAGCGGGAAACUUGCCUCAAGAUGAGAUCUCACUGGGAACUUGAUUCCCCUGAAGGGCCGUCGAAGACUACGACGUUGAUAGGCUGGGUGUGUAAGCGUUGUGAGGCGUUGAGCUAACCAGUACUAAUUGCCCGUGAGGCUUGACCAUAUAACACCCAAACA
rnacentral:rRNA from 1 species